AGUCACUGCUAUUGGGGUUCGGCUAAGCCAUGCGAGCGGAGGGCGCGGUCGCAAGAUCGUGGCCCCGCACACGGCUCAGUAACACGUAGUCAACCUACCCUUGGGACGGGGACAACGCCGGGAAACUGGCGAUAAUCCCCGAUAGGUGAGGGAUGCUGGGAUGCUUCUUCGCUCAAAGCUCCGGCGCCCGAGGAUGGGACUGCGGCCUAUCAGGCUGUUGGUGGUGUGACGGACCACCAAACCUACGACGGGUACGGGCGAUGGGAGUCGGAGCCUGGAGAUGGGGGCUGAGACAAGGCCCCAGGCCCUACGGGGCGCAGCAGGCGCGAAAACUCCGCAAUGCGCGCAAGCGUGACGGGGGAACCCCAAGUGCCGUUGGCUUUUGAUCGACGGCUUUUCGGAAGUCCAAUAAGCUUCCGGAAUAAGGGCUGGGUAAGACUGGUGCCAGCCGCCGCGGUAACACCAGCAGCCCAAGUGGUGGCCGCGAUAUUGGGCCUAAAGCGCUCGUAGCCGGAUCAGCAAGUCCUUUGUGAAAUCGGACCGCCCAACGGUUCGGCGUGCAAAGGAUACUGUUGGUCUUGAGACCGGGAGAGGUCGGAGGUACUCUUGGGGUAGCGGUGAAAUGCUGUAAUCCUGGGGGGACCACCAGUGGCGAAGGCGUCCGACCAGAACGGAUCUGACGGUGAGGGGCGAAGGCUAGGGGAGCGAACGGGAUUAGAUACCCGGUAGUCCUAGCUGUAAAGCAUGCGGGCCAGGUGUCUAGCGCUCCUUGAGGGCGCUAUGUGCCGGAGGGAAGCCGUUAAGCCCGCCGCCUGGGAAGUACGGCCGCAAGGCUGAAACUUAAAGAAAUUGGCGGGGGAGCACCACAAGGGGUGGAACCUGCGGUUCA
rnacentral:rRNA from 1 species